rnacentral:lncRNA from 1 species
GUGGAGCAAAGAGUGACAGGUUGCAACCACCAACAUAUGAAAUGGAAGGCAGUAGGCACAGGACAGAUCCAGGCGAACGCAUGUCAGUGGCGAACAGGACAGUGAACCUGAAGAUAAGGCAGUGCUGUAACCUGACCCGUCCUCUUCCCCCCUCCAUCUCCCUGUCCCACCUUGAUGAAAAACUUGGUCUCCUUUAUAAUUUUUUAAAGAGAAAAAAUAUUUUUGAGAGAUGGGGGGGCAGAACAGUGCCCUAAGAUGCCUCAGUUUUACAGGCUGCCAAAGCAAACUUUUGCAUGCAGUAGAAACCGGGAAAUAAUGCUAAAAAAAUAAGAAGCAGAUUUGCCCAUUACUUACAUGUCAAAAGUGUGGCUAUUUGCCUUCACUUCUCAUGAUGAUAGUUCAUAUUCUGAUUUCUUCUUAAAAUAAAAAGACAGAGACAGCAAUGAAUUCCUGGGUGAGACGAAUAUGGAAUCUUUUAUAUCAAAAGCAGCUCUCCCCCUUUGAGAUACCUGGCUCUCUUUCCCUCACUUCUUCUGUUGCUGCUGCUGCUGUUACUGCUGCUCCAGAGGUGGUGUCUCUCCUUAUGGCCCCUGGGCUCCCACAUCUGCCUACCUGCUGCUGUCAUUCUCUCACCUGGUCUCCAGCGCUACUGCAGGUAAGAAAGCUGCUUUCCAGCAUUUGUUGAGUGGAGCCCAGCCGGACUGUCCUCCCUGCCUCCCUCCCCAGCAAUCCUCCUGCUGCUGAAUGAAGUGAGGGGGCUUCUGUCUCACAGGGGUUAGGAAGAUCAAACUGUCUACCAAUUACUCCUGGGAAGAUUGCCACCAGCCAAUAAGGAGAGGUGCCCUGAGGGGAACAAGUGAGAGGAGGUAUUGGGAAUGAGAGAGACGCACAGAGAGAAAUGGAGAGAGACAGAGGGAGAAUGAAUGAAUGAAUGAAUGAAUACAUGGAGGGGGGAGAGAGAGAGAGAAUGGGGGAAAGACUGAGAAGGAGUGACAUAGUGAUUCUGAUGGAGGGAAUGAGCAAGAGAGAGAGAGACAGGAAGGAGAAACUGAGAGGAAUAAGAGGGAGAAAGGGGGGAAUGAGGGGGUGCAGGAGCGCAGUGGUGACAGAUGGUGACAUUGAGGAGAAUACAAGCAGGAAAGGGAGAAUGGAAGAGGAACCAGAAGAGGUUUUACUGAGGAAAGGAGACCUGUGGGUGAGAUCUACUGUAUGUGCCUGGAGAUGGCACAGGAAGCUCCAGGAGGCAGAGGGGACUGACAAAACCUGACAGUAGAAACAAAAGUAUAUAGCCUAAAAAUAUAUAAGGAUUUGUGAUGGAAAUCCUUGCUUUUCUCCUUCUUAUUAUUCUCCUGGAACUACGAGAGGAUGAGGUAUUUUGCUGUGCUCUUCACGAGAGAAGAAAAUGAGAUCAAGGACCCUGGUUUUGCAUAGAA